CGGACACACCAGGCUAUCGCCUGGUUCAAGCACGCGAUCUCCUACACAGUCCACCGGGUCUACACCACAAUCCCUGCCGCUUCCUCGGGUGCCCGCUUAGGGGUGGCCUCUCCUGUUGUUUGCCUCCUGGCUACUCGUGCUUCGUCGUUUGGACCUCAGCUACCUGCGUUUUAGUUCGGAGACCUUCUCGUCCCGAACGUCUUGACGUAGCGAUCUUGCUCGUUGGUUACUAUCACGGUCGUAGCUCCUCUGCUGAUUUCGUUCUAACGUUGUUGAUUUGUACACUUGCUUUCCUUGACUGUCGGUCCUGCUUCCAGCGCUCGACCUGUUUAUAUAGGCCUCCUCUAACGGCUUAUCCCUUUGGUCUCCAGUCUCCGGAUCCAAAGUCCAUGAUUUUACCGUUGGCCCGGUCCAAAGUUUAAAAUCCGGCCCUGCGGUAACCGCGGAAUACUCUUGGGAUUCCGUCAACGCUCACAGCUCCGUCUCGAGUUCCACAGCGCCGAUCUCUUUUGAGUAUAUUCCUCGUUCUUAAUUUCAAACUUUGCCGCUCAUUCGUACUUCCGUGAUGCUUCUUCGUUCUACGCUCUUCUUCCCGCCUUCCACAUUUUCGUCUUCUCGUCAUCUGAUCACACCAUUCGCCGUUGAUCGAUUGUUACCGAUAGAUCCCGAUAACUCCCGUUGGGGCGGCAUUGCCACUUGGUGACCCUGGUAUUUCCGUAGUGUGACCCGUCAUGUGCUGCUUUUUCCGAUGUUUUUGCCCAUCGAUUGACACUAUCGAGUGCCGAUCGACCGCCUUGUGAUCGAGGUGCCCCCUUCCCUAAGAACAUGGUGACUCCGCAAAUGCUGACAACAGAAGGAAUUUUAGCUUAGGACUCUCUUCGGGAUUUCACCUUCGGCAUACACAUGGCAUCGACAUGGACCCCUUUUCUGGAGGCGGACCAGCACUUGCGGAAGGACUCUCUUUCCGGCCGCCCUUCGACCCACACAUUUCGCCCACAUGAAAUUCUUUUGAUAUAAUGUGAAUCUGAAUCUGCAUAUACCUGAAUAUAUCCUAUGUUUUGUGCGCGUUCGUGUGAUCCGUCCUUUUAAAUAAUGUGCUACGUGUUUU